UUCUUCCUACGGGACGCAGCAGUAGGGAAUCUUUCACAAUGGGCGAAAGCCUGAUGGAGCAACGCCGCGUGCAGGAUGAAGGCCUUCGGGUUGUAAACUGCUUUUAUAAGCGAGAAAUAUGAUGGUAACUUAUGAAUAAGGAUCGGCUAACUACGUGCCAGCAGCCGCGGUAAUACGUAGGGGGCAAGCGUUAUCCGGAUUUACUGGGUGUAAAGGGAGCGUAGACGGCGAUGCAAGUCUGAAGUGAAAGCCCGGGGCUCAACCCCGGGACUGCUUUGGAAACUGUAUGGCUGGAGUGCUGGAGG
rnacentral:rRNA from 1 species